rnacentral:lncRNA from 1 species
UAUUAUUAUUAUUAUUAUUUUUCUUCCACCUAAUUUUGUCCGGCAGUUUUCUCAGAGCCAAAGGAACCAAUCUGAAUGAUAGUGCACUAUAACAAGGAACCCUGACUUUCCUGUUGUCUUUCCGGUAUUGGAACUAAAAAAAUGGCUGCCAUCACCAUGGAAACGAAAAAAUGGUGAAAAAAUAUAAUUUUAGAGUUAAGGGAAUUGUUUGAGAAUGCUUAAGCUUAAAAUCUUUAGAUUUUAAUACAAUGUAGGUGCCCACUAUAUACUGCUUUGGGAUGAUUUUGGCAAUCAUUGGAACUGCUAUGUUGCCAUGGAUACCACACCAAAAAUUUCCAAAAUAUGGAAAUGCUCCAAAUUUAAUAAAACUUCACAGAAACGAUGAGCAACAUUGUAAGAUGUGGAAUUUGGCGUUGGAAUUUUGAAAAUGUCUGCCGUUACCAUGGAAACAAUGCAAAACAGGUCAAAAUGGUCCAAAAAACACCUAAAAGUGGCAUUUACUUUCUUAAAAGGGUAGGUCAAAUCCAUUGAAACUCUGAUGGUAUGUUCCCUCCCAUGUACCAAUGUGGUAUCUGCCAUUAGAAAUUUGGAAUGGUCUGUGUAACCAUAGAAACCAGCCAAAAUGUCAAAAAUUUCAAAAAUUUCAAAAUGCUCAAAAAGUAAUGAAACUUACUAUGAUUGUUGACUGUCA